CCUACGGGUGGCAGCAGUGGGGAAUAUUGGGCAAUGGGCGCAAGCCUGACCCAGCAACGCCGCGUGAAGGAAGAAGGCUCUCUGGUUGUUAACUUCUUUUCUCAGGGACGAAGAAAGUGACGGUACCUGAGGAAUAAGCCACGGCUAACUACGUGCAAGCACCCGCGGUAUUACGGCGGUGGCAAGCGUUAUCAGGAUUUACUGGGUGUAAAGGGCGUGUAGGCGGGACUGCAAGUCAGAUGUGAAUACCACGGGCUCAACCUGUGGCCUGCAGUUGAAACUGUAGUUCUUGAGUAAUGGGGAGGCAGGCGGAAUGCCUAGUGUAGCGGUGAAAUGCGUAGAUAUUAGGAGGAACUCCAGUUGCGAAGGCGGUCUGCUGGACAGCAACUGACGCUGAGGCGCGAAAGCGUGGGGAGCAAACAGGAUUAGAUACCCUAGUAGUC
rnacentral:rRNA from 1 species